rnacentral:rRNA from 1 species
UGGGGAAUAUUGCACAAUGGAGGGAACUCUGAUGCAGCGACGCCGCGUGAACGAAGAAGGCUUUCGAGUCGUAAAGUUCUUUUAUAUGGGAAGAUAAUGACGGUACCAUAAGAAAAAGCCCCGGCUAACUACGUGCCAGCAGCCGCGGUAAUACGUAGGGGGCUAGCGUUGUCCGGAAUCACUGGGCGUAAAGGGUUCGCAGGCGGAAAUGCAAGUCAGGUGUAAAAGGCAGUAGCUUAACUACUGUAAGCAUUUGAAACUGCAUAUCUUGAGAAGAGUAGAAGUAAGUGGAAUUUUUAGUGUAGCGGUGAAAUGCGUAGAUAAUAAAAAGAAUACCGGUGGCGAAGGCGACUUACUGGGCUCAUUCUGACGCUGAGGAACGAAAGCGUGGGUAGCAAACAGG